UGCUAGGGCUAGAGAGCGAGUGCAGAUACAGAUGAAGCUUCGCUCCCUUGCCCUUUGCU
rnacentral:pre_miRNA from 1 species